CUGGAAAGCUACGAGGAACCUCCACGGAGACCAGUACGACCUCCAGCUAGAUAUAGUAGACAUCUGAGUAGUGGUGAUGACGAAGACUCACCGCCACCAAAGACACGCGUUGUAAGCACACCAAAAUUCAUUCCAAGGACAGAAUAUUUUGAAGAACAAAUUCAGUGUUUUCCAAGGGCCCAAGUAUCAGAAACUGCA